ACGCUCGACACCUACGGGAGACAGCAGUAGGGAAUCUUCCACAAUGGACGCAAGUCUGAUGGAGCAACGCCGCGUGAGUGAAGAAGGUCUUCGGAUCGUAAAACUCUGUUGUUAGAGAAGAACACGAGUGAGAGUAACUGUUCAUUCGAUGACGGUAUCUAACCAGCAAGUCACGGCUAACUACGUGUCAGCAGCCGCGGUAAUCUGAGCGGGCUGGCAAGGC
rnacentral:rRNA from 1 species